rnacentral:rRNA from 1 species
AUGAGAGUUUGAUCCUGGCUCAGGACGAACGCUGGCGGCGUGCCUAAUACAUGCAAGUCGAACGCUUCUUUCCUCCCGAGUGCUUGCACUCAAUUGGAAAGAGGAGUGGCGGACGGGUGAGUAACACGUGGGUAACCUACCCAUCAGAGGGGGAUAACACUUGGAAACAGGUGCUAAUACCGCAUAACAGUUUAUGCCGCAUGGCAUAAGAGUGAAAGGCGCUUUCGGGUGUCGCUGAUGGAUGGACCCGCGGUGCAUUAGCUAGUUGGUGAGGUAACGGCUCACCAAGGCCACGAUGCAUAGCCGACCUGAGAGGGUGAUCGGCCACACUGGGACUGAGACACGGCCCAGACUCCUACGGGAGGCAGCAGUAGGGAAUCUUCGGCAAUGGACGAAAGUCUGACCGAGCAACGCCGCGUGAGUGAAGAAGGUUUUCGGAUCGUAAAACUCUGUUGUUAGAGAAGAACAAGGACGUUAGUAACUGAACGUCCCCUGACGGUAUCUAACCAGAAAGCCACGGCUAACUACGUGCCAGCAGCCGCGGUAAUACGUAGGUGGCAAGCGUUGUCCGGAUUUAUUGGGCGUAAAGCGAGCGCAGGCGGUUUCUUAAGUCUGAUGUGAAAGCCCCCGGCUCAACCGGGGAGGGUCAUUGGAAACUGGGAGACUUGAGUGCAGAAGAGGAGAGUGGAAUUCCAUGUGUAGCGGUGAAAUGCGUAGAUAUAUGGAGGAACACCAGUGGCGAAGGCGGCUCUCUGGUCUGUAACUGACGCUGAGGCUCGAAAGCGUGGGGAGCAAACAGGAUUAGAUACCCUGGUAGUCCACGCCGUAAACGAUGAGUGCUAAGUGUUGGAGGGUUUCCGCCCUUCAGUGCUGCAGCAAACGCAUUAAGCACUCCGCCUGGGGAGUACGACCGCAAGGUUGAAACUCAAAGGAAUUGACGGGGGCCCGCACAAGCGGUGGAGCAUGUGGUUUAAUUCGAAG